rnacentral:misc_RNA from 1 species
AAAAAAUAAAAGAGGUCAGCAAAGCUCUCCAGAACAUGCAAAGCAAAUAAGUAACAUCAUCAGAGCAAUAGAUGGAAUCAUCCAAGUUUGCGAUGUUGGUAUUAAUAUCUUGCACAAUCAAUAUAAUACAGAAUGAGAGAAGAACAGAAAAAGGAAUUAAUAGAGAAUGAUGCAAUCAAAUGUUUAGUAUUGUUCACUCUUUUUGAACAUCAUCACAUUAACUCAAUAUUUUCUUUCUGCUUUGCAUCUCUAAUUCUCUAUUAACAUUAUGGAUUCUCCAACUCAACUCAAUUCAACUCAA